UACCCGCAGCACAAGUGGUGGUCAUUAUUAUUGGGCCUAAAGCGUCCGUAGCUGGCUUGUUAGAUGCCUGGGUAAAUCGAUGCGCUCAACGUAUCGAAUUCCGGGUAGACCGGCAAGCUCGAGACCGGGAGAGGCGUGAGCUACUCGAGGGGUAGGGGUAAAAUCCUGUAAUCCUUCGGGGAGGACCAGUGGCGAAGGCGUCACGCUAGAACGGCUCUGACAGUGAGGGACAAAGCCCUGGGGCGCAAACCGG
rnacentral:rRNA from 1 species